GGAGAGAUGGCUGAGCGGUCGAAAGCACCGAUCUUAGGAUUCGGCGGGGUGAGUUAAGAGGCGCCCCCGCGGGUUCAAAUCCCGCUCUCUCCG
rnacentral:tRNA from 1 species